ACAUUGCAAAAGUAAUAAUCAAACCUCCAUUCUCCGCUGUUUUUCAUUUUUCAAUGGAACCCUAAAGACUAAUCCCUCGAACCUCACCAGUUUCAUCCCAUGGAAAACUUCUCCUACUCUUCUUAUCCUGAAUCCGGCGAUUCUUCGCCUCGUUCCAGAGAAAUUGAAUGCGAAAAUCAAUCAUGGGACGAGUCGCCCUCCCUCAAUGCUACUAAUAAUAAUGUUAAUUAUAAGGUUAAGUUUAUGUGCAGCUAUGGGGGCAAAAUCCAACCGCGUUCCCACGAUAACCAGCUCGCUUAUGUUGGUGGAGAUACCAAAAUCCUCGUCGUUGAUCGCAACAUCAAGUUCUCUGCUAUCAUGGCCAAGUUAUCUUCUCUUUACGGUGGGGAUUCUGAGGUUUGUUUCAAGUAUCAGCUUCCCGGUGAAGAUCUCGACGCUUUAAUUUCCGUUACCAAUGAUGAAGAUCUGGAGCAUAUGAUGAUGGAAUAUGACCGGUUGCAUCGUUCCUUUGCCAAACCUGCCCGGUUGAGGUUGUUUCUAUUCCCGUUGAAUUCGCCGUUGGUGGCGUCAGGAUUUGAAGGGAGUGAACCGAAGUCCGAUAGGCAAUGGUUCAUUGACGCAUUGAAUUCGGUGCAGAUUCAGAAUCUCGAUGCCUCUUCCCCUCCUACUGUGGCGGUUCUGGCGGCAAAUCCCGAUUUUCUAUUCGGGUUGGAUAAGGUGAAUGUGCCGGAUUCUGUUCCUCCGGUUGUGACGGUGGCACAGGAAGUUGUUGCGAAGGAUGUAACGGCGGGAUCAGACUGUGGAUCGGAGGACCAGCAUUUGAUCACGGACCCAAUGGUAUCUCCAGCAGAGAUCCAGAGGCAAAUCCAUGAAUUACAGAGGAUGCAUAUUGCUGCUACACAAGAACAAGGCAUUUUGCAGAGAAAAAUCGAUGAAUCAAAUGCUAGAGCUUACAAUACUCAAGAUUAUUCAAAAAUGUUGGAUAAAAUUGCCACUUCACCGGUACCAGUAUCAACUCCGCUGCAAAUGCCAAUUCAAACGGCGUAUUUAAGCUCUGCUGCUUAUUCGGUAUCUGCGACCGCAGCCCCCGCAAACCAACCAGUUUACCUCAUUCCGACUCCUGCAGCCGGAGUUUAUCAACGGCCUCCGACAAUACAACAGGUAACUGUACCAGCUGGUCAACCUUACUACGGGGUACAGCGGGUGUUUCAGGAUGUUUACCGAGAGCAGUCGGUUUACAAUGCGGUUCCAUCCACGAAGGUUGGGGCGUACACUGAGGGAAUCCAAGUUAUGCAGCAGACGGGUGGGAUGCCUGAAUCAGGAUAUGUACAGGUGGGUUAUGAUGGGGCAGGAAGGCAGGUGUAUUACACGGCGGCGCCAUAUCAAGGGAUGCCACAAAUGGCGGCAUCUGGUAGUGUCCCGGUGUUAAGUCAAGAUGAAUUUUGGACCUUCUAAGGAUCUGGAUUGGGUUUAUUACUGUAUUUGGGCGGCGUAUAUUUGUAGCUAUAGUCUUGCUUUGAACAUUCUAAUCAAGUUACCAUGUCCCGACGCAUCCAUGUGAUUUUGUUGUUUCUUCAAUAUGCAUCAUCCUUCAUUUAUACAUAUACUUGCUACCUUCCCUACGACGGCUACUAGUAAUUGCUUCCACGCCUCCUUCCAUAACCAGAACCUCUAGUUCUAACACUUACUGCUCUAUAUUCCACCGGUGUCGUGUUGUCUGGGGUGGCCAUAUCGGCAUUUGGAACCUAACGCACGCUGUGUGGCACUUAAUUAUUGGAGCUUUUCUCAUUGUUUUUCCAAGCCGUCAUUUAUAAAUCUCUACAAUGACAGUGACUCCACCGUCACCCCCUUUUGUGACUAUUCAUUGGUCUGAUGACGAAAAGUAAGAUGAAGCUUGUUUCCAUAACGCCAGGUAUAAAUAAAAGUUAAGCAAAGCCACAGCCUUCCCAUGGAGAACUUUACAGCCACCAUGAAAUGGCCGUUCAUUCUUGCGGUUAUUAAUCUCAUACUACUAUUUUUUUUUUCUUUCAAGAAAAGCAAUCAUGUAGAGCCACAAUUUAUAGAUAAAUUUGGGGUCUCCAAUAUGAAAUAAAUCUGGACGUGUUUGAACCA